AUUGAACGCUGGCGGCAGGCCUAACACAUGCAAGUCGAGCGGUAGAGAGAAGCUUGCUUCUCUUGAGAGCGGCGGACGGGUGAGUAAUGCCUAGGAAUCUGCCUGAUAGUGGGGGAUAACGUCCGGAAACGGACGCUAAUACCGCAUUCGUCCUACGGGAGAAAGUGGGGGCUCUUCGGACCUCACGCUAUCAGAUGAGCCUAGGUCGGAUUAGCUAGUUGGUGGGGUAAAGGCUCACCAAGGCGACGAUCCGUAACUGGUCUGAGAGGAUGAUCAGUCACACUGGGACUGAGACACGGUCCAGACUCCUACGGGAGGCAGCAGUGGGGAAUAUUGGACAAUGGGCGAAAGCCUGAUCCAGCCAUGCCGCGUGUGUGAAGAAGGUCUUCGGAUUGUAAAGCACUUUAAGUUGGGAGGAAGGGUCGUUACCUAAUACGUGACGAUUUUGACGUUACCGACAGAAUAAGCACCGGCUAACUCUGUGCCAGCAGCCGCGGUAACAC
rnacentral:rRNA from 1 species